rnacentral:rRNA from 1 species
ACUCCUACGGGAGGCAGCAGUGGGAAGUAUUGGACAAUGGGGGAAACCCUGAUCCAGCCAUGCCGCGUGUGUGAAGAAGGCCUUCGGGUUGUAAAGCACUUCAGUGGGGAGGAAAGGUUGAUGGUUAAUACCUAUCAGCUGUGACGUUACCCACAGAAGAAGCACCGGCUAACUCCGUGCCAGCAGCCGCGGUAAUACGGAGGGUGCAAGCGUUAAUCGGAAUUACUGGGCGUAAAGCGUGCGCAGGCGGUCUGUUAAGCGAGAUGUGAAAGCCCCGGGCUCAACCUGGGAACUGCAUUUCGAACUGGCAGACUAGAGUCUGUAGAGGGGGUUAGAAUUCCAGGUGUAGCGGUGAAAUGCGUAGAGAU